rnacentral:lncRNA from 1 species
GGGUGGGGCUGGCCAACUUCGUCUGCCUGACUCGGAAUGGCGCGAGACUUUGCGAGGCACCUCCAUGUACCAAAAAUAGGCCGCGGGCACUGCCGCGCCCAAAAAUAACCGCCCGAAGGCCGGGGCUCCAAGUUCGUCCAGCGGAAAAAGGCCACAAAAACGGGUGGGCUAUAGCCUUGGGGGGUGGGGCUGGCCAACUUCGUCUGCCGGACUCGGAAUGGCGCGGGACUUUACGAGGUGCCUCCGUCGCCGCGCCCAAAAAUAACCGCCCGAAGGUCGGGGCGCCAAGUUCAUCCAGCGGAAAAAGCCCACAAAAACGGGUGGGCUAUAGCCUUGGGGGGUGGGGCUGGCCAACUUCGUCCGCCGGACUCGGAAUGGCACGGGACUUUGCGAGGUGCCUCCGUGUGCGAAAAAAAGGCUACGGGCACAGCAGCACCCAAAAAUAACCGCCCGAAGGCCGGGGCGCCAAGUUCGUCCAGCGGAAAAAGGCCACAAAAACGGGUGGGCUAUAGCCUUGGGGGGUGGCGCGAGAAUUUGUGAGGCAACUCCGUGUGCUAAAAAUAGGCCGCGGGUACAGUCGUGCCCAAAAAUAACCGCCCGAAGGCCGGGGCGCCAUGUUCGACCAGCGGAAAAAGGCCCCAAAAACGGGUGGGCUAUAGCCUUGGGGGGUGGGGCUGGCCAACUUCAUCCGCUGGACUCGGAAUGGCGUGAAACUUUGCAACGCACCUCUGUGUGCCAAAAAUAGGCCGCGGGCACAGCUGCGCGCAAAAAUAAACGCCCGAAGACUGGGGCGCCAAGUUCGUCCAGCGGAAAAAGGCCACAAAAACGGGUGGGCUAUAGCCUUGGGGGGUGGGGCUGGCCAAUUUCGUCCGCCGGACUCAGAAUGGCGCGAGACUUUGCGAGGCACCUCCGUGUGCCAAANNNNNNNNNNNNNNNNNNNNNNNNNNNNNNNNNNNNNNNNNNNNNNNNNNNNNNNNNNNNNNNNNNNNNNNNNNNNNNNNNNNNNNNNNNNNNNNNNNNNCAGCGGAAAAAGCCCACAAAAACGGGUGGGCUAUAGCGUUGGGGGGUGCGGCUGGCCAACUUCGUCCGCCGGACUCGGAAUUGCGCGAGACUUUGCGAGGCACCUCCAUGUGCCAAAAAUAGCCAAGGGCACCGCCGCACCCAAAAAUAACCGCGCGAAGGCCGGGGCACCAAGUUCGCCCCGCGGAAAAAGUCCCCAAAAAUGGGUGGGCUAUAGCCUUGGGGGGUGGGGCUGGCCGACUUCGUCCGCCAGACUUGGAAUGGCGCGAGACUGUGCGAGGCACCUCCGUGCACCAAAAAUAGGCCACGGGUACAGUCGUGCCCAAAAAUAACCGCCCGAAGGCUGGGGCGCCAUGUUCGUCCAGCGGAAAAAGGCCCCAAAAACGGGUCGGCUAUAGCCUUGGGGGGUGGGGCUGGCCAACUUCAUCCGCUGGACUCGGAAUGGCGUGAAACUUUGCGAGGCACCUCUGUGUGCCAAAAAUAGGCCGCGAGCACAGCUGCGCACAAAAAUGACCGCCCGAAGGCUGGGGCGCCAAGUUCGUCCCGCGGAAAAAGGCCACAAAAACGGGUGGGCUAUAGCCUUGGGGGGUGGCGCUGGCCAAUUUCGUCCGCCGGACUCGGAAUGGCGCGAGACUUUGCGAGGCACCUCCGUGUGCCAAAAAUAGGCCGCGGGCACAGCCGCGCCCAAAAAUAACCGCCCGAAGGCCGGGGCGCCAAGUUCGUCCAGCGGAAAAAGGCCACAAAAACGGGUGGGCUAUAGCCUUUGGGGUUGGGGCUAGCCAACUUUGUCCGCCAGACUCGGAAUCGCGCGAGACUUUGCGAGGCACCUCCGUGUGCCAAAAAUAGGCCGUGGGUACAGUCGUGCCCAAAAAUAACCGCCCGAAGGCCGGGGCGCCAUGUUCGUCCAGCGGAAAAAGACCCCAAAAACGGGUGGGCUAUAGCCUUGGGGGGUGGGGCUGGCCAACUUCAUCCGCUGGACUCGGAAUGGCAUGAAACUUUACGAGGCACCUCUGUGUGCCAAAAAUAGGCCGCGGGCACAGCUGCACCAAAAAAUAACCGCCCGAAGGCUGGGGCGCCAAGUUCGUCCAACGGAAAAAGGCCGCAAAAACGGGUGGGCUAUAGCCUUGGGGGGUGGGGCUGGCCAAUUUCGUCCGCCGGACUCGGAAUGGCGCGGGACUUUGCGAGGCGCCUCCGUGUGCCAAAAAUAGGCCGCGGGCACAGCCGCGCCCACAAAUAACCGCCCGAAGGCCGGGACGCCAAGUUCGUCCAGCGGAAAAAGACCACAAAAACGGGUGGGCUAUAGCCUUGGGGGGUGGGGCUGGCCAAUUUCGUCCGCCGGACUCGGAAUGGCGCGGGACUUUGCGAGGCACCUCCGUGUGCCAAAAAUAGGCCGCGGGCACCGACGCGCCCAAAAAUAAACUCCCGAAGGCCGGGGCGCCAAGUUCGCCCAGCGGAAAAAGGCCCCAAAAACGGGUGGGGCUGGCCAACUUCAUCCGCUGGACUCGGAAUGGCGCGAUACUUUGCGAGGUGCCUCCGUGUGCCAAAAAUAUGCCGCGGGCACAGCCGCGGCCAAAAAUAACCGCCCGAAGGCCGGGGCGCCAAGUUCGUCCAGCGGAAAAAGCCCACAAAAACGGGUGGGCUGUAGCCUUGGGGGGUGGGGCUGGCCAACUUCGUCCGCCUGACUCGGAAUGGCGCGAGACUUUGCGAGGUGCUUCUGUGUGCCAAAAAUAGGCCGCGGGCACAGCCGCGCCCAAAAAUAACCGCCCGAAGGCCGGGACGCCAUGUUCGUCCAGCGGAAAAAGGCCAGAAAAACGGGUGGGCUAUAGCCUUGGGGGGUGGGGCUGGCCAACUUCGUCCGCCGGACUCGGAAUGGCGCGAGACUUUGCGAGGUGCCGCCGUGUGCCAAAAAUAGGCUGCGGGCACAGCCGCACCCAAAAAUAACCGCCUGAAGGCCGGUGCGCCAAGUUCAUCCAGCGGAAAAAAGCCACAAAAACGGGUGGGCUAUAGCCUUGGGGGGUGGGGCUGGCCAACUUCGUCCGCCGGACUCGGAAUGGCGAGAGUCUUUACGAGGUGCCUCCGUGUGCCAAAAUUAGGCCGCGGACACAGCCGCACCCUAAAAUAAACGCCCGAAGGCCGGGGCGCCAAGUUCGUCCAGCGGAAAAAGGCCACAAAAACGGGUGGGCUAUAGCCUUGGGGGGUGGGGCUGGCCAACUUCGUCCGCCGGACUCGGAAUGGCGCGAGACUUUGCGAGGCACCACUGUGUGCCACAAAUAGCUGCGGGCACAGCCGAGCCCAAAAAUAACCGCCCGAAGGCCGGGGCGCCAAGUUCGUCCAGCGGAAAAAGGCCACAAAAACGGGUGGGCAAUAGCCUUAGGGGGUGGGGCUGGCCAACUUCGUCCGCCGGACUCGGAAUGGCGCGAGACUUUGCGAGGCACCUCCAUGUUCCAAAAAUAGGCCGUGGGCACAGCCGCGCCCAAAAAUAACCGCCCGAAGGCCGGGGCGCCAUGUUCGUCCAGCGGAAAAAGGCCACAAAAACGGGUGGGCUAUAGCCUUGGGGGGUGGGGCUGGCCAACUUCGUCGGCCGGACUCGGAAUGGCGCGAGACUUUGCGAGGCCCCUCCGUGUGCUAAACAUGGGCCGCGGGCACAGACACGCCCAAAAAAAAACCGCCCGAAGGCCGGGGGGCCAAGUUCGUCCAGCGGAAAAAGGCCACAAAAAUGGGUGGGCUAUAGCCUUGGGGGGUGGGGCUGGCCAACUUCGUCCUCCGGACUCGUAAUGGCGCAAGACUAUGCGAGGCACCUCCGUGUACCAAAUAUAGGCCACGGGCACAGCCGCGCCAGAAACUAACCGUCCGAAGGCCGGUUCGCCAAGUUCGUCCAGCGGAAAAAGGGCCCAAAAACGGGUGGGCUAUAGCCUUGGGGGGUGGGGCUGGCCAACUUCAUCCGCCAGACUCGGAAUGGCGUGAGACUUUGCGAGGCACCUCCGUGUGCCAAAAAUAGGCUGCGGGUACAGUCGUGCCCAAAAAUAACCGCCCGAAGGCCGGGGCGCCAAGUUCGUCCAGCGGAAAAAGGCCACAAAAACGGGUGGGCUAUAGCCUUGGGGGGUGGGGCUGGCCAAUUUCGUCCGCCGGACUCAGAAUGGCGCGAGACUUUGCGAGGCACCUCCGUGUGCCAAAAAUAGGUCGCGGGCACAGCCGCGCCCAAAAAUAACCACCCGAAGGCGGGGCGCCAUGUUCGUCCAGCGGAAAAAGGCCACAAAAACGGGUGGGCUAUAGCCUUUGGGGUUGGGGCUGGCCAACUUCGUCCGCCCGACUCGGAAUGGCGCGAGACUUUACGAGGCCCCUCCGUGUGCCAAAAAUAGGCCGCGGGCACAGCCGCGCCCAAAAAUAACCGCCCGAAGGCCGGGACGCCAAGUCGCCCAGCGGAAAAAGCCCACAAAAACGGGUGGGCUAUAGCCUUGGGGGGUGGGGCUGGCCAACUUCGUCCGCCCGGCUCGGAAUGGCGCUAGACUUUACGAGGCACCUCCGUGUGCCAAAAAUAGGCCGUGGACACAGCCACCCCCAAAAAUAACCGCCCGAAGGCCGGGGCGCCAAGUUCGUCCAGCGGAAAAAGGCCACAAAUAAGUGUGGGCUAUAGCCUUGGGGGGUGGGGCUCGCCAACUUCGUCCGCCGGACUCGGAAUGGCGCGAGACUUUUUGAGGGGUCUCCGUGUGCUAAAAAUAGGCCGCGGGCACAGCCGCGCACAAAAAUAACCGCCCGAAGGCCGGGGGGCCAAGUUCGUCCAGCGGAAAAAGGGCCCAAAAACGGGUGGGCUAUAACCUUGGGGGGUGGGGCUGGCCAACUUCGUCCGCCGGACUCGGAAUGCCGCGAGACUUUGCGAGGGGCCUACGUGUGCCAAAAAUAGGCCGUCGGCAAAGCCGCGCCCAAAAAUAACCGCCCGAAGGCUGGGGCGCCAAGUUCGUCC